UCCUACGGGAGGCAGCAGUGGGGAAUCUUAGACAAUGGGCGCAAGCCUGAUCUAGCCAUGCCGCGUGUGUGAUGAAGGCCUUAGGGUCGUAAAGCNCUUUCGCCAGGGAUGAUAAUGACAGUACCUGGUAAAGAAACCCCGGCUAACUCCGUGCCAGCAGCCGCGGUAAUACGGAGGGGGUUAGCGUUGUUCGGAAUUACUGGGCGUAAAGCGUACGUAGGCGGAUCAGAAAGUAGGGGGUGAAAUCCCAGGGCUCAACCCUGGAACUGCCUCCUAAACUCCUGGUCUUGAGUUCGAGAGAGGUGAGUGGAAUUCCAAGUGUAGAGGUGAAAUUCGUAGAUAUUUGGAGGAACACCAGUGGCGAAGGCGGCUCACUGGCUCGAUACUGACGCUGAGGUACGAAAGUGUGGGGAGCAAACAGGAUUAGAUACCCUGGUAGUCCACACCGUAAACGAUGAAUGCCAGUCGUCGGGCAGUAUACUGUUCGGUGACACACCUAACGGAUUAAGCAUUCCGCCUGGGGAGUACGGUCGCAAGAUUAAAACUCNNA
rnacentral:rRNA from 1 species